CUCAAUGGGCAGUGCUCUCCACCCAGGUGUUGUUAGUGCCCUCUUUAUCAGAGCUGGAGGAGAAGGGAGCCCGAGGCGUGCAACUGUGUCCAGAAUUGGUGGGUUCUUGGUCUCACUGACUUCAAGAAUGAAGCCAUGGACCCUUGCGGGGAGUGUUACAGUUCUUAAAGAUGGUGUGUCUGGAGUUUGUUGCUUCUGAUGUUCAGACGUGUUCAGAGUUUCUUCCUUCUGGUGGGUUCGUGGUCUCACUGGCCUCAGGAGUGAAGCUGCAGACCUUCGGGGUGAAUGUUACAGUUCACAAAGAUGGGGCAUCUGGAGUUGUUCCUCCCUCCCGGAGUGAAGCUGCAGACCUUUGCAGGUAGUGUUACAGCUCAUUAAUGCAGCACAGACCCAAAGAGGGAGCAGCAGCACGAUUUACUGCUAAGAGAGAAAACACAAACCUUCCACAGAGUGGAAGGUGACACAAGCAGGUUGCUGCUGCUGGCCCGGGUGGCCUGCUUUUAUUCCCUUAUUCGGCCCCGCCCACAUCCUGCUGAUUGGUCCAUUUUGCAGAGCAUUGAUUGGUCCAUUUUACAGAGCGGUGAUUGGUCCGUUUUGACAGAGUGCUGAUUGGUGCCUUUACAAAUCUUUAGCUAGAGGGAAAAGUUCUCCGAGUCCCCACCUGUCCCAGAAGCCCAGCCGGCUACACCUCUCAAUGGCACUCGCGGGGGACUUGGCGGCACCUAGCCUGGGCACUCAGGCAGCCCAGAGGGAGCUCAUCCCCGGAUCAAGCCCAGCAGGCGCGGCCGGCUGCGCCUAGUGCAGGCCCGCGGAGCCCGCGCCCACCCGGAACUGCGCAGGCCCGCGAGCGCCAGGCGCAGCACCGGCUCCAGCCGGCACCUCUCCCUCCACACCUCCCCGCUAGCAGAGGGAGCCAACUCCGGCCUCGGCCAGCCCCAGAGAGGGGUCCCCACAGCGCAGCGGCGGGCUGAAGGGCUCCUCAAGCACGGCCAGGGCGGACGCCUAGGCCGAGGAGGCGCCAAGAGCGAUCGAGGGCUGCUAGCACGUUGUCACCGCUCACAACUACUGGAAAACAUUCAGAUAUUGACAAGAUGAUCCUGAAAGUCAUAUUUCAAAUUCAAUUCAAGAAGCACGUACUCAAAAUAACCUUGAAAAAAGGAUAUCAAAUGGGAGUAUUUGGAUGUCAGCAAACGGCAGACUAUGAAGUUCCUAGCUUUUGUGCUUACACAGAAAUAUAUAUUUUUAGGGACAUGGAUGAAGCUGGAAACCAUCAUUCUCAGCAAACUAACACAGGAACAGAAAACCAAACACCGCAUGUUCUCACUCAUAAGUGGGAGUUGAACAAUGAGAACAUAUGGACACAGGAGGGAAACAUCACAUGCCGGGGCCUGUAGGGGGGUGGGGGAAAAGGGGAGGGGAAAGGGAAGGGAUAGCAUUAGGAGAAAUACCUAAUGUAGAUGAUGGGUUGAUGGGUGCAGCAAACCACCAGGCACAUGUAUACCUAUGUAACAAACCUGCACUUUCUGCACAUGUAUCCCAGAACUUAAAGUAUAUUUUAAAAAAAGAAAAAAAAUGUUUUAAGAGUUGUCAGUACUGACUCUGAAAAAUUUAGUCAAAGGUAUACAGCAACCUAGAAAACACCCCGUGAACAAAACCCAUGUUCAAAACUGGAAGAAAGUUAUAAGGCAUUUUACCACCCCUGCUCCAUUUCCCUCCCCAGUGCAUGGUGGUGGUUUUGGUCUUGAGCAGUGGUAGCUUAGUUCUAGACUCCUCCCUGGAACUGGAGGAAAAAGAGAGGUCCUAAAUUGCAAAUUUGUGCAUAUGUCUAUUCUAAACUGUCUAACCUAUCUGGGAGCUACCUGAAGGACUACUCACUGGUCUCUAUCUCAUAUAACUUAGAAUACAGGCAGAAAAAUUGCUGGUGCUUCUUAUAAAAGCUACAUGGUACUAGAAACCCACAGACUUCUAGGACAAGAAAGUAUGGGUGGAGACAUAUAGUAGAUCAUCUAAGGUCCAGAGGAGAAGCUUGCAUGAGACUCUUUGGGAAUUGAGGACAUUUAAAACAGCCAUGGAAAUAGGAGACUUUAGAAUGCAGUGGGCCUGCCCAGAUAACACAUAGACUACUCAGAAAAAAAUUGAUAUAAUCUUAAACUAACACCUUGGGCUAAUUCCUAGGCUUAGAGCUAGCUAGCUAAUCAGUGAAGGACUACCCCAGUACAGAACAAAUAUUCAUCAUAUGGUUCCUCUCAUAUGAAGUACCUAGAGUGGUCACAAUUGUAGAGAAAGAAAGAAUAGCAGUUAGCAGUGGCUGGAGGGAGAGGAGACUGGAAGUUAUUGUUUAACGGGUACUGAGUUUCUGCUGGAGAUAGGUAUAAAAGUUAUGGAACUGUAUAAUGGUGAUGGUUGCACAACAUUGUGAAUGCACCUAAUGCCACUGAAUUAUACACUUUAAAUUGGUUAAAAUGGCAAAUUGUAUUUAUGUAUAUUUUACCACAAUAAAAAUUUAUUGAGAAAAAUGUUGGAGAACGCAUACUUCCCAAUUGAUGAAACUUAUUGCAAAGCUGUCAUAAUCCAGAUAUUGUGCUGUCAGCAUAAGGGUAGACAUAUGAAACAACGAACUAUUAUUGAAAA
rnacentral:lncRNA from 1 species